rnacentral:rRNA from 1 species
UACGUAGGCAGCGAGCGUUGUUCGGAGUUACUGGGCGUAAAGGGUGUGUAGGCGGUCCUCUAAGUUUGGUGUGAAAUCUCCCGGCUCAACCGGGAGGGUGCGCCGAAAACUGGGGGACUAGAGUGCGGGAUGGGAAAGUGGAAUUCCUGGUGUAGCGGUGAAAAUGCGUAGAUAUCAGGAGGAACACCGGUGGUGUAGACGGCUUUCUGGACCGUAACUGACGUCUGAGACACGAAAGCGUGGGUAGCAAACAGG